rnacentral:rRNA from 1 species
GACGAACGCUGGCGGCGUGCCUAACACAUGCAAGUCGAGCGGAGUUAUAAGGGCUUGCCUUUAUAACUUAGCGGCGGACGGGUGAGUAACGCGUGGGCAACCUGCCUUACACAGGGGGAUAACACAGGGAAACUUGUGCUAAUACCGCAUAACACAAAGUCAUGGCAUCAGGAUGUUGUCAAAGGAGUAAUCCAGGGUAAGAUGGGCCCGCGUCCGAUUAGCUAGUUGGUGAGGUAAUGGCUCACCAAGGCGACGAUCGGUAGCCGAACUGAGAGGUUGAUCGGCCACAUUGGGACUGAGACACGGCCCAGACUCCUACGGGAGGCAGCAGUGGGGAAUAUUGCGCAAUGGGGGAAACCCUGACGCAGCAACGCCGCGUGAAGGAUGAAGGUUUUCGGAUUGUAAACUUCUUUAGUCGGGGACGAAACAAAUGACGGUACCCGAAGAAUAAGCCACGGCUAACUACGUGCCAGCCGCCGCCGUAA